UCUGGUUGGGGUGUGUCAAGUGUGAAUGAGUUGAGGGGAGAGGUCCCCCAAGGACCCCUUUUAUAGGGUCUUGGGGGACGUUUCCCCAUUCAUUAGCGUGGGACCCACCCCAUUAAGGUAUCCUAUUAAGGAAUGCCUUAAUGGGGAGGGUCCGCUCAAGUAACGGCUGGGAGUCGGCGAUUCAGGUGUGGGAAUCGCCGA
rnacentral:lncRNA from 1 species